AAUGUCAAAGGCAUGAUUCCAGUUACAAUUUCAGUUUCAGUGCUUUCUGUGCACUUGGACCACAUGUCAGCGUAUACAAAUCCCCCCAAAACGGUAUUUCACGAACACGACAAAGGCUAUGAUUUACAUGAUACGAACGAACCGCUGUAGUCGGUGACAACAAUAACAAAAACAAAAACAACAACAGUAACA